AAUCAACGCUGGCGGCGUGCCUAACACAUGCAAGUCGAACGCGAAAGGGGAGCAAUCCCUGAGUAGAGUGGCAAACGGGUGAGUAACACGUGGGUGACCUGCCUUCGAGUGGGGGAUAACGUCCCGAAAGGGACGCUAAUACCGCAUGACAUCCUGCUCUUGGAAGAGCGGAGAUCAAAGCUGGGGAUCGCAAGACCUGGCGCUUGAAGAGGGGCCCGCGCCUGAUUAGCUAGUUGGUAGGGUAAUGGCCUACCAAGGCAACGAUCAGUAUCCGGCCUGAGAGGGCGGACGGACACACUGGGACUGAGACACGGCCCAGACUCCUACGGGAGGCAGCAGUGGGAAUUGUUCGCAAUGGGCGCAAGCCUGACGACGCAACGCCGCGUGGAGGACGAAGAUC
rnacentral:rRNA from 1 species